rnacentral:rRNA from 1 species
UAACGACUCUCGGCAACGGAUAUCUCGGCUCUCGCAUCGAUGAAAAACGUAGCGAACUGCGAUACUUGGUGUGAAUUGCAGAAUCCCGUGAACCAUCGAGUCUUUGAACGCAAGUUGCGCCCGAAAGCUUCGGUUGAGGGCACGUUUGCCUGGGUGUCACACACGGCGUUGCCCCUAACCCCUCGCCUUGAAUUGGGCGGGCGGGACUUGGGUGCGUAUGUUGGCCUCCCGAGAUGAACUUAUCCCGGUUGGCCCAAAAUCGAGCGUCGGAGCGAUUACCACCACGACAUUCGGUGGUUGAUGAGACCCCAAUGAUCAAUGUCGUGGGUGUCGCUCAUGCACAUGCUCCACGAAUCUACCUUUCACCAACGCGACCCCAGGUCAAGCGGGGCUACCCGCUGAGUUUAAGCAUAUCAAUAAGCGGAGGAAAAGAAACUAACAAGGAUUC